UUCCUCUAUUUUAUGUAGGAUGCUGUCACAGUGUGGCUUGACGAGUGGUGCUAGGUCUGUGCCUGGGAUCUGAGCCUAUGAACCCUGGGCUGUUUUGCACCAACUUAACUGCUACGCCACUGGGCAGCCCUACAAAUACUUAUAUUUUACUUAUGGAAAUAGCUAUCUACUUUACAAUUUGGAUUUAUCACAAGCACUGUUUUUCAGACUACUCCUGAUCCAGAGGGGCAAUCCAAGCAAAGUGUGAACACCUACUCCUGGAAUCCUGAGGCGCCAUUUGAGAAGUCCAGCUAGUCUGGGACCACCAUGCUGGAGAGAGCACGUGUGGGAGCUCCGGUGGCAGUCCCAGCUGAGCGGUCCUCCAUCUUUUCCAAGUUGCUAUAGAUGUGUUAGUGAAACCAGCUUGGCCCCUCCAAAAGGGCCCACCUGCCAGCUCAGUACCAGCACGUGAUCUCUGCAAUGCCAUGUGGCACAGAAAAAUCACGCAGCCAAACUUUACCAAAUUUCCUGAGCUGAGAAAUUGUGAGAUAUAAUGAAGUAGCGAUUGUUUUUACCCACCCGGUUUGGAUUUGUUUGGUCCACAGCUGCGGAUAACCAGCACACUCCCCAAUGAGUGUGUAAGCUUCAUGGGAACAAGGAUCACAGUGUCCCCUGACAAACCUAAAACUUUGCAUGCAGCGGUGCUCAACAGGCAUCAUUUUCUUUUUUAAGGCUAUGAUUUCCACACCAUGCUUGGCAAGGUACCUUAUAAAUAUUGUGUGACAGUGAUGACAAGGAAGUGGAAUUACCUUGAUAAUUACCUCAGUGAUAAGAAAAUUACCCAGUAGCUAUCAAAUGCUGCUAAGUAUGUUACUCAUGCACUCACCAACUGCAGGAUCUGGAAAGGGGGUUAAAGACCGUCUACUUCAGCCCUGCAUCAGGCAGGUGGGCAGUGAGGCCCGAGGGGCAGCUCCAGCAGGAGGCUGACAUCUGGUUUCUGACUACAAGCCUAUCCAUCAAGGCCUCUGCUCACAAACAUGGGUGGGCCACAAAGGGCCACUGGGUGGCUCUGUGAGCCAGCAGUGCAGAAGGACCGGG
rnacentral:lncRNA from 1 species